rnacentral:misc_RNA from 1 species
UGGCUCUCGCAUCGAUGAAGAACGCAGCGAAAUGCGAUAAGUAAUGUGAAUUGCAGAAUUCAGUGAAUCAUCGAAUCUUUGAACGCAUCUUGCGCUCCUUGGUAUUCCGAGGAGCAUGCCUGUUUGAGUGUCAUUAAAUUCUCAACUCUCUUAUACUCUGUUGUAAAAGAGAGCUUGGACUGUGGAGGCUUGCUGGCCACUUUUUGGGGUCAGCUCCUCUGAAAUGCAUUAGCGGAACCGUUUGCGAUCUGCCACAAGUGUGAUAAGUUAUCUACACUGGCGAGGGGAUUGCUCUCUGUAAUGUUCAGCUUCUAAUUGUCUCUACUUUUUGAGACUACUUUUGAAUGCUUGACCUCAAAUCAGGUAGGACUACCCGCUGA